UACGUAGGGUGCGAGCGUUGUCCGGAUUUAUUGGGCGUAAAGAGCUCGUAGGCGGUUUGUCGCGUCGGCCGUGAAAUCUCCACGCUUAACGUGGAGCGUGCGGUCGAUACGGGCAGACUUGAGUUCGGUAGGGGAGACUGGAAUUCCUGGUGUAGCGGUGAAAUGCGCAGAUAUCAGGAGGAACACCAGCGGCGAAGGCGGCGCUCUGGGCCGGAACUGACGCUGAGGAGCGAAAGCGUGGGUAGCAAACAGG
rnacentral:rRNA from 1 species